rnacentral:rRNA from 1 species
UGGGGAAUUUUGGACAAUGGGGGAAACCCUGAUCCAGCCAUCCCGCGUGUGCGAUGAAGGCCUUCGGGUUGUAAAGCACUUUUUGCAGGAAAGAAACGUCAUGGGUUAAUACCCCGUGAAACUGACGGUACCUGCAGAAUAAGCACCGGCUAACUACGUGCCAGCAGCCGCGGUAAUACGUAGGGUGCAAGCGUUAAUCGGAAUUACUAGGCGUAAAGCGUGCGCAGGCGGUUCGGAAAGAAAGAGGUGAAAUCCCAGAGCUCAACUUUGGAACUGCAUUUUUAACUACCGGGCUAGGGUGUGUCAGAGGGAGGUGGGAUUCGGCGUGUAGCAGUGAAAUGCGUAGAUAUACGGAGGAACACCGAUGGCGAAGGCAGCCUCCUGGGAUAACACUGACGCUCAUGCACGAAAGCGUGGGGAGCAAACAGG